GGCUGAAAAUCUUUUUGUUUCGUGAGAGCAAGAAGAGAUGCCCUUUGCAAAGGAAACGAGCAUUUUGAUAGACGGCGCUAGUCACGGACAAAAGACUUCCACACUCCAGCUAUGUUUGGUAAUGCCUUGCUAAAAUACUCUCCCCAAAUAAUGACUGAUGAUUGACUAUGGUGACUGAGACUCAGGAACAUGGCAAACACGUUCGCAGAAAUAAACAAUGUGAGCCCGCUGCUCUGAGGGAAACAACUGAUGGUUUCUGUUUCCAGUGAUGAAAUUUGAACUUUGAAGUGAAAAAAAAAAAAUCAGAAUUUUAAAAAACUUGCAUCCACCCACCAUGAACUUCACAGCUUCCCACCACUUAAAAACUCUUCUGAUGGUAUUCUGAGAUGGAAUAUGGCAACAUUUGGAAGAUCUGCAUAACUCACUAGACGGGGAUUUUCCAAGGGACCGAUGCACGAUAUUACAAGAUGAGGCAUGGGUAAAAAAAAAAAAAAAAAAAAAAAUCCAUUCAAAGUGCAAGACAGACCAAUGCAUUUCAAUGUAG